rnacentral:misc_RNA from 1 species
CGCACAUUGCGCCCCUUGGUAUUCCAUGGGGCAUGCCUGUUCGAGCGUCAUUUGUACCCUCAAGCUCUGCUUGGUGUUGGGUGUUUGUCCCGCCUCGCGCGUGGACUCGCCUUAAAUUCAUUGGCAGCCGGUAUAUUGGCUUCAUGCGCAGCACAUUGCGUCAUGAUGUUAGCGUGCCCCCUUCCAUUAAGCUUUUUUCUUAGUUUGACCUCGGAUCAGGUAGGGAUACCCGCUGAACUUAA